rnacentral:lncRNA from 1 species
AUUUUAAAUGCUACUGCUCUUUCACCAUUUCAGCUACAAACAUUAAAACAACUUCAACAUUUUCAAAACUGUAUCAAUUUGAACAAUUUACAAUUUCAUGAAUUAGCAUAAAUAACACACCAACAGUAAUAUUAUAGGCCUAACUCUAGAACCGUUCAAGCUAGAGACAACCAACCAACUUUCACCUGUUCCAGCUAUCAUUUUCUAUCAACCAUAUUACUUCAAGACAAGCUAGCAAGCACACACAUUUUCUUUAGGAAAUGUACUUUUCGAGGAUUCAGUUGACCUUAGUCACCGCCGGUGAAUUUUUGCUUCCAUGUAAAACCAAUAGGUCUACUACUACGGACGGGGAAUGGACAUAUGAACCGAAUUGCGUUGUGGUUGGAGGUCGCUAUACGAGCUGCUUAUCUGUAAAACUUUUCUUUACCAUUUACCAGGCAAAAUAUCCCAGUAAAUAGAUUCUGAACAACUUAAACUAGACUUACUGUAUAAUUAUUAUUGUUUGAAAAAUGUCCCCAUCGUGCUCAUGGAAUCAACCUUCUCUGAGGAGGAAGGUAGAGAGAAUAAUUGUCUCAAACUCUUCAAAUUGUAAACACCCUAAAACGUAUAAGAAGAGGUCUCAGAGGUGUAGUUUAUGGGAUGUUUCUGAUAAACUGUAGGUUUCUAUUUGAUUGGAAGGCUGUACAGGUGGUUUGGGAGAUGCGCAGUGUUGCCUAAUGUCACACUCGGUGGUGGUAUAAAAUCCCCUGGGUUUGUCCUCCAGUCUAUCUUGAGAAAAGACGAAGGCAGGAAAGCUACAUUACGCGCAAUUGUGGCUGAGAAGAAACCGAUAACAAGAUGACUAAAAUUGUGAUGGCUUACAUUGGGUUCCUUCUCCUUGCCAUGCGUUUUUCGUCACAGGUCCACGCGCAAAACACUACCACACAGUCCCCUGCCAUGAAUGCUACGACCAGAGCUGGCGGUGCGAGUUCCAACAUGACCAAGAUGCCUGAUGUCACCAAGAACAACAUUCCCAAAGGAGCCAGUGCAUCCUUGCAGUCCAGCUCGGUUGCGCUCAUCAUACCCAUCAUGGUGGGGGGCUCACUACAGGGGCGCUUGUAGAGGGCUGUUGAGCAGUGAACAGACACCGGCAAGACUAACAUCGGCCUAGAUGGGGCAAACUGUUCUAAAAAGAGCUCAUUGGGAGAAAAAAAAAUUGAUGCGAGUUGAUGCGAACCCAUUUCUAUUUCACUGAUGGGAAUUGUUAUUUUCCCUCACACCUUCUGGCUGCUUCAAACCAGUAGGCCUUCACACCUCGCACACUGGCCCCAUGCCCAUAGGCCGAACUGUACGGUCCUCUCCAUGGAGGCAGUCCAUGAUGAGUAUGUACUGUACGGAACUCUGCUCUUUGAACCGUUUGGUCCCGCUGUUCCUGUGUAGACACCAGGGGGUAGUUUAGUAAUUUGUUAAGAAGUUAACAUAUCUAAAGAAAUGUUGGUUGAGGCACUUUGAAAAUAAGGUAUAAAUGAAUGUGGCACAGGCUUGAUGUACACUUGUGAUUUAUUUCUAGAAUAUGGAAUUGUAUGAGUUAGCAUGUGAGAUUUAAUUGUAUGAAUCAUGUGAUCUGUUUUUAAGGCCAGGUUCAAUAAACCUUUGAAAUGUAGGAUACUUGAGAGACCUUUCUUGUAUAAUAAAAAUAUUUUAACAUAAUGUUCCUUCUCCUGUCUCUAAAUUCUAAAGCUUGACCUGACAAGUAAUUUGCUCUGUUCCACUUGUCUCCAGCCCCUUUAUUGAUCACAUGGCUAAACCCAGGGAUUUCUUAAGGUAGACUAGGUUUGAUGUGCCACAAUUUAAAUCCUUAUUUUAGAAUUGGGUAUAGGAAUGUUCACCUUUUGGCCAGUUGUAGCAUUUAUGCCAUGUCAACUAGGACAUGACUUGUCUUGCAUUCCUUGUAUGGACUAAACCGUGUAAGCUUCCUGACAGUUGACUCACUUGCAGCCUGCUUUAAU